AUCACUUCUCAGCCUUUUGGUUAAGAUCAAAAGUGAAGCAACUGUUCUUAUCAGUUUAAUAUCUAAUACGUCCUCUAUCUGAGGACAAUAUAUUAAACUAGAGGUCUGAUGCACAAAAAUUCGUGCAAGAGUAGGCCUUCCUUACCCCAGCUGCUGGCACUGGCUUC
rnacentral:snRNA from 1 species